GUGCUCACUUUGGCAGUACAUAUACUAACACUGGAACGAUACAGAGAAGAUUAGCAUGGCCCCUGCACAAGGAUGACACACACAUUUAUGAAGUGUUCCACAUUUUU
ensembl:snRNA U6 U6 spliceosomal RNA